rnacentral:lncRNA from 1 species
UGUGUUCAUCAUGCAAGUGGAUUCUUUUGUUAAUUAAUUUAUUCUUUUGAAAUUUCAUAUAUGGGCACACAGUGUUUAUAUCAUUCCUCUCCUCCUCCCUCCAUCUCUUUCAGCUCAUUUUAUUGCUUGGCACUUCAGGGCAGAGCAAGCAUAUAGAAGUAAAACCUAUGAAUUCUUGUGUGGGAUGGCCUCAGAUCUGACACCUCUAUUUUGUAUUCUGUAGGACUGUGUUUGUCAAGCCCUGAACACUCUAAAGACAAACACAGAAAUCUCAAAAUCCCCUUGACAUUGGCAAUAAUGAAUGGCCCACAGGUGUGAGAAAAGACACAUCAUUAUAUGGCUAAUCCUCAGAUGAGGAAUGUUGCUUUUUUUGUCAGCAACUUUCAUUUGGAUGGAGAAAAUUUAUCCUCUAUAUCUGAGUUAUAAAUGAAAGGAGGGCUGGAGAGAAGGCUCAGUGGUUAAGAGCAGUGACUGCUUUUCCAGAAGUCCUGAGUUCAAUUCCCUGAAACCACAUGGUGACUCACACCCAUCAGUAAUGGGAUCCGAUACCCUCUUCUGAAGGCUGAGACAGUGUACUCAUAUACAUAAAAUAAAUAAAUCUUUAAAAAAAAAAAAGAAGAAGGAGAAGAAAGGAAAAGAAACACAUAAACCUGACUCUUAUCUGGAAAGAGGACAUGGUCUGUGCACAAUCAGAUUAGCAGCAUCUUAUCUGUUUCUGAUGCCCUCUCCAGAUCCCCUACCAGUUGUGCAAUUGUAACUUUCACAUCUAUAGGGCAUCAGGCAAGCUUACCUAUCACUAAACCAUAUACAAGAUGCUAGUACUUGUCAUGUGAUAUAUUUCAUCUGAAGUUUCUGUGCUAAUAGAUCCCACAGUUAGGAUUUUUAAAGUGAAAUGUUUAUCAAUCCCCUAAAAACAAUAUUUGAACAAGCAGCCUGAAGAUAAAUGGAAAACAAUAUAGUCUUUAAAAGAUAAAAAUCAAAAUAACACUGUGUGUUCAUUUCAAAAAAGAAAAGACAGGCUAUCUUUAACC